UCUUCUGUCUUUUCCUUUCUUCUCCGUUCUUCUUCUUCUGCGAGUGUUUGAGAACAAACUAAAGAUUUCGAUUGAGAGAAUCAAUCUAUGAUGAAGAUCACAUGCAGUAGAAGGUGCUGUUGGUGUUGGCACAGAUUUGAGAGUUGUGUUGAUGUUUUAGGAAGCAAAUUUAGGGUUUUGAGAUGGAUCUUGGAUUCGUAUGAAAUUGAUGGGUUAAAUCGAAUUAUAAAUUGAUGUAGAAUGAAGGGUUGUUGUUAAUUUGAAGUGGUAGUAUUUCUUUGAAUAAGAAUUGAGAUGUUAAUGAAAUUGUGAAGAAUUUAGGGCUCCUGAAAUAAUUUCGAGACUCAAUUAAGGAUGAAUUAUAAGAAGUUAGAGGAUGGGUUUGUUCUUAUUUGAUGAUUGAUGGAAGCUGUGUUGUUGUUUGAUGAUUGAACCAGUGAAUUAGGGUUUGUAAAGCAAAGUCAGGGAAGAUGAAAUUGAAGGUUUAGAGGACGAAGUUGUUGUUCUAUGGGUUUGAUUUGAGAUGGGGUUUCGGUUCUUCCCCAAUUUAUGAAUUAAGGUUUCUGAGAGUUGAUGAUUACGAGACUCAUAUCGAGAGAGAAGAAGAGUAUAGUUGGUUUUGGCAGAUGGUGGUGGUCUUGAGAUGAUUUCUCAAUUGAGCUAUAAGGGAAGGAGGAGUCUGACUUCAAUUGCCUGAGUGAGGCUAUCACGAGAGUUAGUGAUGAUUUGAGAAGUUGCAAGGGCUUAGAUGAUGAAAUAAUGAAUAGUUCCAGCUGAAAUGUAAAAUAAGAACUGUAAAUGAAGGUUUGUCCUGAUUCAGAAAGUUGUGUUAAAUUAGUGGUGAACUGAAUAUGAAAGUUGUAGGUAAAGUGGUUUGAAGUUCUGGUGGUGGGUUUGAGCAUAGAGUGGAUGUUGUAGAAGUGUAUCUUGAGAUGAAGUUGUAGUUGAAUAUCAAAAAGGUGUUAGUUGUAUCUAGAGGUAGAGUUGGAAUGAUUGCGUAGUGAGCUGAAAUGAAAUGUUUGUAUGAAUGUAAUGUAAGAAUGAAGGUUAGAUGAACAUUGGAGUUGAAUCUGCUCAGUGAGAGGCUUGCAGUUGCUGCCUAACGGUAAGCUGAAGUUGUAAUUAAAAUUAUGUUAUGAAAUUAUAGUAGCUGAGUUUGAUAGUAUCGAUUGUUGAAGUGUAGAUAAGAAGAGGAUUCUGAAUUAGUUUAUGUUGAAUUAAAUCUCCUCAGUGGAAGCUUGCAACUGCAUUUGCAGGUAAAUCUAAGUUUGUAGUUGAAGUUAAAUCAUGAAGUUUUUAUAAUUUGAAUGUACAAUGUUUAAAGUUGAUACUUUGUGUAUAUCUGGUUGAAUUGAAAUAAGGAAGUAGAAGUUAGUUAGGAAGGUGUUAGUUUGGGUUGGAUUUGUAAUGCAUUAGUUUGGCCUGUUCUUACUGAUCCCAGUCAGCUUGGAUGACUCUUUGUAUCUGACUGAGUUGAACCAGUUUAACUCAGUUGACCAGACCUGACCAGACUGUAGCUGACUCAGUAAGACCGAGUUAGACUCUAACCUUGGACUGUUGACCUGACAUUGACUCUGUUGACUAUAGACUUGACUUGACCCUCACUGACGUUGACAGUUAGUGGACCCUUUGACCGUUAGUUGACUCAGAUAGACUUGAACUUAGUUUAAUGUACUUGUUUAGUGACUUGGGCUUAGUACAUGUAUUCUUAGUUUGAUAUUCUGGACCUCUUAUGGUCCGAAUUAACCUUUGGUUUCUUCUACAAAGUUGUAGAUAUUCAUAAGAAAUACUUCAUGGACUAUAAAAUCAACCUAAUUGAAUUAGUAAACCUCUAUAUGUGCUAAAGAUAGAGAAUGAAAAGGUGUAUAACCAUAAAUAGGCUUACAACCAUUAGAUAGACUUGUUUGAUUCUUUUGUGAGUCAUGGUGGCUAGAUUGUUAGAGUUCUUGUAUGAUUAACAAUUAGUUAUUAACAACGAUCAAUUCAAAGGAUGAACCAGUGGAUCGUGUAUCUCGAGGUAGGCGUGGCUUGUCAUCAAAAGAGGUGGGAAUACGUUUGACUCUUUUGUAACCAUUGUUGUUUCUUUUAUAAAAGUCUUUGUUUAUUAAACGCAUGCUUUGUCAGUUUGUGCAUUCCAUGCAUUGUUUAACUUGUAUUACGAUAAUGUUGUUGAUUCUGUUAUGUUUUGGAAAGGACCUGUAAUGUUUUGUUGUCAAUAUGAAUUGUUAUGGGAAAUGAGAAUUUCCACGUGUGAUAUAUAGGAUACGCUCCUUCAUUUAUAUCUACAUGAAUUCAACUUUUAUACUUUGGAGGUGUGGAAUUCAGCACUAACAUAAACUAAUAGGGUGUGGAAGGAAUUGGUUGACACUCAAUAUAGUACAUUGUUUGAAGGAGGAGUUUGUCCAUAUACAUGUUUGUUUAUUUCAGUGUCUUAGUUACAAUUUAAUAUUUCGGAAAACAUGUAUUGUUUUCCAAAUCUUGCUUAUGAUUGCUUGAAAGUUAAAUGUUAUUUCUGUUGGGCACCCCUUUUAGGGAUGAUGUGCUCACCCAUUCCAAUUUUCAGCUUCAGAGACAGAUCAGAGUUGCGCAGCGAAAGCUUCAAGGGUUGUUUUCGUUAGUUGGUUAACUUUUACUAUGUUUAUUAGCAUAAUUUUAUUUAGUUAUGCAUUUUCCGAUAUAUGAAUAUUUUUUUUAUAAUAUUUAUUAAUAUCAAGUUUACC